UACGUAGGGGGCAAGCGUUGUCCGGAUUUACUGGGCGUAAAGAGCGUGUAGGCGGCCAAGCAGGUCCGUUGUGAAAACUGGAGGCUUAACCUCCAGACGUCGACGGAAACCGCGUGGCUAGAGUCCGGAAGAGGAGACUGGAAUUCCUGGUGUAGCGGUGAAAUGCGCAGAUAUCAGGAGGAACACCAGUGGCGAAGGCAGGUCUCUGGCGAACACGUGACGUGAGGAGCGAAGACGUGGGGAGCGAACAGG
rnacentral:rRNA from 1 species